rnacentral:rRNA from 1 species
GACGGAGGGGGCAAGCGUUGUCCGGACUCACUGGGCGGAAAGGGCGCGUAGGUGGUCUCGUGCGUCGGUGCUGAAAGCGCCGGGCUUAACCCGGCGAGGCGUGCCGAUACGACGAGACUCGAGGCAGAGAGAGGGUAGCGGAAUUCCGGGUGUAGUGGUGAAAUGCGUAGAGAUCCGGAGGAACGCCAGAGACGAAGGUGGCUACCUGGCUCUGACCUGACACUGAGGCGCGAAAGCGUGGGGAGCGAACCGG